CCUACGGGAGGCAGCAGUGGGGGAUAUUGCACAAUGGGGGGAACCCUGAUGCAGCGACGCCGCGUGGGUGAAGGAGUGCUUCGGCAUGUAAAGCCCUAUCGGCAGGGAAGAAGCAAGACGGUACCUGACUAAGAAGCCCCGUCUAACUACGUGCCAGCAGCCGCGGUAAUACGUAGGGGGCGAGCGUUAUCCGGAUACACUGGGUGUUAAGGGAGCGUAUACGGCAAUGCAAGCCAGGGGUGAAAGCCGGGGGCCUAACCCCGGGACUGCCCUUGAAACGGCAUGGCUGGAGUGCGGGAGGGGCAGGCGGAAUGCCUGGUGUAGCGGUGAAAUGCGUAGAUAUCAGGAGGAACACCGGGGGCGAAGGCGGCCUGCUGGACCGCGACUGACGUUGAGGCUCGAAAGCGUGGGGAGCGAACAGGAUUAGAUACCCUUGUAGUC
rnacentral:rRNA from 1 species